GGGACGAACGCUGGCGGCGUGCUUAACACAUGCAAGUCGAGCGGAAAGGCCCUUCGGGGUACUCGAGCGGCGAACGGGUGAGUAACACGUGAGUAAUCUGCCCCUAGCUCUGGGAUAGCUCCGGGAAACCGGGAUUAAUACCAGAUACGACCACUUUAGACAUCUGUUGUGGUGGAAAGAAUUUCGGCUAGGGAUGAGCUCGCGGCCUAUCAGCUUGUUGGUGAGGUAACGGCUCACCAAGGCGACGACGGGUAGCCGGCCUGAGAGGGCGACCGGCCACACUGGGACUGAGACACGGCCCAGACUCCUACGGGAGGCAGCAGUGGGGAAUAUUGCGCAAUGGGCGAAAGCCUGACGCAGCGACGCCGCGUGGGGGAUGAAGGCCUUCGGGUUGUAAACCCUUUCAGCAGGACGAAGCGAAAGUGACGGUACCUGCAGAAGAAGCGCCGGCUAACUACGUGUCAGCAGCCGC
rnacentral:rRNA from 1 species